rfam:Zostera marina strain Finnish scaffold_4097, whole genome shotgun sequence.
GUGAUAGUAACUCAGUUGGUUAGAGUCCCUGAUUGUGACUCAGGAAGUUGAGGGUUCGAUUCCCUUCUAUCACC